GCAAGAUUUUGCUGCAUGCGAAGGUUCCUCCCAAAGUUAAAUUCCACAACAUAUGUGGGAUCAAUCUUGAGACACCUCACAGUGUUGGUUAUGGAAGUGAAGAUGCACCUGUUGCAGAUUUAUCAGAACUAAGAUUUCUCCAGGCUAAAUAUGUAUGUGUUGAUGGCGGUGGGACUGUUCCAACUGAAUCAGCCAAGGUUCUCUAGCUUCCGUGUUAAACGAUUAUUUCCG